rnacentral:rRNA from 1 species
AUUGAACGCUGGCGGCAUGCUUUACACAUGCAAGUCGAACGGUAACAGGCCGCAAGGUGCUGACGAGUGGCGAACGGGUGAGUAAUGCAUCGGAACGUGCCCAGUCGUGGGGGAUAACGCAGCGAAAGCUGCGCUAAUACCGCAUACGAUCUGUGGAUGAAAGCGGGGGACCGUAAGGCCUCGCGCGAUUGGAGCGGCCGAUGUCAGAUUAGGUAGUUGGUGGGGUAAAGGCUCACCAAGCCAACGAUCUGUAGCUGGUCUGAGAGGACGACCAGCCACACUGGGAUUGAGACACGGCCCAGACUCCUACGGGAGGCAGCAGUGGGGAAUUUUGGACAAUGGGCGCAAGCCUGAUCCAGCAAUGCCGCGUGCAGGAAGAAGGCCUUCGGGUUGUAAACUGCUUUUGUACGGAACGAAACGGUCCUGGUUAAUACCUGGGGCUAAUGACGGUACCGUAAGAAUAAGCACCGGCUAACUACGUGCCAGCAGCCGCCGUAACAC